UUUACGAUUGCUACAUCUAACAAAGAUCAAUCCCUCUAAAGGUUAAGAUCUUCCAACGGAAGUUAAUUAGGGGCCAGUUCUUGAAAAUGGCCUUUAAUUCACCAUCUCUGUUUCGCACUGCAAAUCCAUUAAGCAUUAUUCAGAUUUGUGACAAGAAGAAAAGGAGUGUAGCUGUUGCAGUGGUAUCACUUCCUACCCCUGCUUUAAUGCAGUAAGAGACCGAGUGGGAAUGUCAUCUAAUACGGUGGUCCAGUAUCAUGAGCAAUUUCCUAGAUGUGCUUACUUUGUUUGUGCAUAUGGUGGCCAGGACAUAUGUUGUGCAGUCAGAGGGUGCACUUCAGCUUGCUCUCCUGUGAAUACUCUUCAGUGUACACUGCAACUCUUUUGUUAUUGAAAGUUUAUGAUUGCUAAAUCUAACAAAGAUCAAUCCCUCUAAAGGUUAAGAUCUUCCGACGGAAGUUAAUUAGGGGCAAUUUGCCCUCUAGUGAUCAGACCUAGAAGGGGCAAGGGCCAUGUUUGGGGAAUUGCGUAUAGGUGCCCGAUCACCAAGUUUAUGUGGAGCUGCGCGAGGGAACUCCUGAAGUGUAACCGGAACAAUUCUUGUUUUGGUGAUUUCUUUGAUUUAAGUAGGGACACGUUAGGUCAUUGACAUAGGUCAAUUUGACAUGCUUCGCAGCAAAGUUGGGCUCUGUCGAAUAUUAGAAACAAGUUGACCAUCAAGUGGGGGUGAUUCCCGUUAGAGGAGCAAUUUAUCUCUAUUGCAUACCACAUGGGGGCAAACAUAUAGUACAAUACACAAAAAACAAUUGAGUCAAGCCAGGGGAGGGGGGGUUCCGAGAGGGUAGCACGUCACAAGAAGAUAAUGCAUCAUAGGAAGAUACAAGAUAAGUAUCAAGAGAAGAAGGGUUAUCAAAAGAAGACGGCACAUCAAGAGAAUGAAGCAUUGCGCAAGAAAUCAUAGCCCAAGAAACUGGCAGCAAAGAAGCUCGGCGGCAAUAAAAUGGACAUAUAUCGACGACGAUGCAAAAGGAGACCACAAAAAUCCAAUCGGAGACAAUAAGGACCAGAAAGACCACAAAAGUUGUACUACGAAGGACAAUGACCAGAAAAGAAGGCCUACAUAUAAAGUUUUGGUGGCCUCGCAUGGCAUGAGAAACACGAAAGAGCAAUGAAUUUGGUGGACAGAGCGCAAAAUAUAGAACUAUGAAGCACAUAUUAGACUAGGCAACGGGCCAAAGAGACUGGUAAUGGUGGCAGCAGAAGAAAAAAUCAAGACAGCCAAGCUCCCAAAUGCCAUGAGUCACAGCGGUGAGGGCCAAAAGGCAGAGUACUAGUUGGAGGCCAGGCCUAGCAACGGCCCAAUUCGUCCAAUAGUGAUAUGUUAGAAAAAAUGCAGCCUGAUCUCAGCACCAGGUCGAGGUCGUGAUCCUAUUUGAGUAAGGCAAACAGAGUAGACGACAGGGUAUGAACUGAAACAGAGUGGUGGAAACAAACCAGAUGUGACGAGAGCAAAAAGAAGAGUUUGAUCUUGAUCAGGAUUGAUUUGAAUGAGUUGCACUUCUCCAUAGAAAAAAUUAAACAAGGGCUCAUGAUACCAUGUUAGAGGAGCAACUUAUCUUGAUGCCAUUGGUGAAGAAGGCAGAGCACCACUGCGAGCACCGAUGGCAGCAAUCAAGGCUGUUCACUCUACAAUUAGGGCGGCUAAGGGUCAAUCCUAGCUCAAGCCAAGUGCUAAGUUGUCGCUGUAUCAGACAUUUGAUAUUUCUUUUAUUGUUUGAUUUGUUUUGGACUGUAAUUGUUAAACUGAUGAACUAAGUGUGGUGUUUGUAUGAUUGGGUGCUGGCUGUUUUGGGACAUUAUAUAAGCCUUUCGUGUAAAAACAUCUAACAAGAUUGUGCUUAGAUCCUUUGAGAGACUUGAGAGCACUGAGGAUUUUAGGUGCAAUCAGCACACCACACCUUUAGUUCAACAAUCAAAAAGUUAAGGAAAAUAUCUAUUUUUUUCCUACAUGCAUCUACCAUGAAAUGAAAAAACAGAUCCAGAGUCAAUCCGCACACUACGAAACAACAAAGAAAUAAAUUGACUGCAUAGUACUCCCUCCUUAUGAUUAUCUAUGGCGUGUGAGCUUUUGGCAGAAAAUUUAGCAUACAGAUGGUAGUUGCUGGACCGCACAGUUAUAGACGAUACCCUCUAACAAACGUGGUUGUCCGAUCCAUGAAACUAGCAAACAGGGUGACUCUAGAGGAGAAAUUGCACGGGAAAACCUGAGCAAGGUGGACUCUGUCAAACCGCAAUGUAAGACCGAUCCGCAAUUUAGCUACCGCUAGUGGAAGCUAACUGUAUAGGAGAGAAUAGCGUGGGUCGGGAGCCAGAAGGUAAAGUUCCAAAUGUAGCUUACAUUUUGGCCUUUUUUAGAGAAGUUGUGCCUGACAUUUUGGGAAGGGUGGAGUACUAGAUAGCACCAGAACAUUGUUCCAUUUCAUAUUUGGAACUAUUCACUGCUGAAUUUAUCCUUUUUUGGCCAUUGAUGUGUGAGUCAGAUUUUGACCUGAAAUUGUAUGGCAUGUUUACAUGCAUGUUGUCUGAAUGUUGUCAAGGCAUUUCAGAAGUUUUCAUACCAUUAUAUGGUAAAUUAUAGAACUUGUUGCACAAGUGUACCUAAGCGCCUUAGUGCAGACAACCCACUGCCUCACUUGGAUCCUCAAACAAUUAAAGUGAAAUAUGGAAAUGCAUAUCUUGGAGCCAUGGAACAAAUUUCCAACUGCCUAUUCCAAGAUUGUUUGUUCUACAUGUGUUGACCUUGGAUCAGUAUAUUACUGUAAACUUGUAACAUAAUAUGGCAAAGACAAUCACGAGCAUUAAAUACAGCCAGUGAUAGUAAUUGCUCGGUGGAGAUUAAACCACUCUGCCAUUUAAGCCAACAAUAUUGUUCAUUUGAUGAUUUUUCUGGCCGCUGACAUUCAGAUGGACAUAGAAGAUAAACAUACGGGAGCACGUCUAAAUAUAAGUACAAGGAGAUGAAUGUCUUGAAAGCAGAAGGGGCAAAGGAUGCACCUGUCUUGGUUUGGCAAUAAGAUUUACUGGCUCUUCUACGUCAUUACCCGCAUCCCCUUCAUCAACAUGAUCGUUGCCCAAGUUAUCAUCAUCCCAAGGUCCGGAUGGCAUAGAGUCAUCACUGUUGUCUCUUGAAUCAUCUAUAAGGAGGUCAAAGGCACCGUGGACCAUUGUACCAGAUAAAUGAUGUCAGAAAAAUAAAAAAAUAACAUCAACAGAAAUAUAGUUAAAUAGUACUCAUGAAGGCAUAACCUAGUAAGAGCUGUAGGCUUCGUUUGGCAUUGUGGCGGAUUCUGAUAAAUGAGAUCAUCUAGCCAGAUUUUAUCAAAAUUACCAUUUUCUUGACUUUUAUUUUACUUUUGAUGCUACUUUUUCGCAGCAGAUUAUAAAAUGGUUUCCUCGAAACAGACUCUUGCACAAAUGGAGGGAAAGGCUGCGUACAAAAGACCCAAAGUGGCCGGACCCUUCCCCGGACCCUGCGCAAGCAGGAGCUACGUGCACCAGGCUGCCCUUUUUUUAGAUUACAAAAAUCAAUUGUAAACUGAGACAAACUGCUAACGGAAUCCUACCUAACAUCAAGGUUCAUAACCGAUUAAAUUUUUUGCAGAUUGUGUACACAGAGCAAUAAAGUCUUUAUUCCAAACCAGCAAAUCCAGAAAGAAGUACAAUAAUGCAAUAUGAUACAAGGAACAACAAUUUUAACUUGUAAGGACACAUAGUAUAAAUAGAAAGAAAAAAAGUAAACCUAUUGUGUUUUAACUUCGAUUUUUGUGAAGGACUUCUGAAAAAGUCUUAAGCAAGAAGAGAAUCUUCAAUUCAAUUACAGAAUGCAAGAAUGUAGCAAAACAUACCAAGUGGUUUUCUCCUUCUCCGAGCUAGACACUGCAAAAAAAAAAGAUCCACAGUUAUUACAGCCGACCCUAAGCACAUAUCAAGAAUAAUUUUUAUGAAAGUAAGCAUUACCAAAAUAUCUGGAAGAAGAAAUAAUUUAACAAGGCUUUCGGGUUGGUAAUGACAAUCCUCUGGAAGUUUAUUGUUGCAGCUACCCUUAUUUGCAGGCAGCAACAAUGGUUUCGGGGUUUUGGGAGGAGCAAAAACAUUUGCCUUCUCAUGUUCCAAUGCUUUGGUGAAAUCAAUAUC
rnacentral:lncRNA from 1 species